ACAGCCCACCCAGGCCUGCUCCCCCUCCUACUAAGCCCAGGAGCAAACAGCCUCGGCCUAUAAGGUUCCUUAGCCUGCCAAAAGGCUGCCACCGGCUCAGACAAGAUGGCAGCCAAAGGGUCAAAUUAAGAACCAGGCCAGUUUGCAGCCCCUGUCCAACCCAGAGCAGGCCCUGACUAAGACCUUCAAGCUGCUCCACUCUGCCUCUGAUGACUGGGAGAAGAAGAUUGAGGGCUUGACCUUUCUCCGUGUGAUGGCUCAGAACCACAUGGACAUACUGAUGCCUAAACUCCAUGAUAUCUGCCUUGCCAUUAUAAA